GUCCGCCCCCUAUACGUCAUCAUUGAGUAAACUUUGACCCGGAACCUAACAGUCAGCAGACACUUCCUGGGAGGGAGGGUCUGCUGCUGAUUGGGUGGAAUGUGUCUGCUGGCUGUGAGGUUCCGGGUCAAAGUUUACUUAAUGAUGACGUAUAGGGGCGGAC
rnacentral:miRNA from 1 species